GGUUAAGCGACUAAGCGUACACGGUGGAUGCCCUGGCAGUCAGAGGCGAUGAAGGACGUGCUAAUCUGCGAAAAGCGCCGGCGAGGUGAUAUGAACCUUUGACCCGGCGAUGUCCGAAUGGGGAAACCCAGUGUGUUCCGACACACUAUCGUUAACUGAAUACAUAGGUUAACGAGGCGAACCGGGGGAACUGAAACAUCUAAGUACCCCGAGGAAAAGAAAUCAACCGAGAUUCCCCCAGUAGCGGCGAGCGAACGGGGAGCAGCCCAGAGUCUGAAUCAGCUUGUGUGUUAGUGGAAGCGUCUGGAAAGUCGCACGGUACAGGGUGACAGUCCCGUACACGAAAGCACACAGGCUGUGAACUCGAAGAGUAGGGCGGGACACGUGGUAUCCUGUCUGAAUAUGGGGGGACCAUCCUCCAAGGCUAAAUACUCCUGACUGACCGAUAGUGAACCAGUACCGUGAGGGAAAGGCGAAAAGAACCCCGGCGAGGGGAGUGAAAAAGAACCUGAAACCGUGUACGUACAAGCAGUGGGAGCCUCUUUAUGGGGUGACUGCGUACCUUUUGUAUAAUGGGUCAGCGACUUAUAUUCUGUAGCAAGGUUAACCGUAUAGGGGAGCCGAAGGGAAACCGAGUCUUAACUGGGCGUUAAGUUGCAGGGUAUAGACCCGAAACCCGGUGAUCUAGCCAUGGGCAGGUUGAAGGUUGGGUAACACUAACUGGAGGACCGAACCGACUAAUGUUGAAAAAUUAGCGGAUGACUUGUGGCUGGGGGUGAAAGGCCAAUCAAACCGGGAGAUAGCUGGUUCUCCCCGAAAGCUAUUUAGGUAGCGCCUCGUGAAUUCAUCUUCGGGGGUAGAGCACUGUUUCGGCUAGGGGGCCAUCCCGGCUUACCAACCCGAUGCAAACUACGAAUACCGAAGAAUGUUAUCACGGGAGACACACGGCGGGUGCUAACGUCCGUCGUGAAGAGGGAAACAACCCAGACCGCCAGCUAAGGUCCCAAAGUCAUGGUUAAGUGGGAAACGAUGUGGGAAGGCACAGACAGCCAGGAUGUUGGCUUAGAAGCAGCCAUCAUUUAAAGAAAGCGUAAUAGCUCACUGGUCGAGUCGGCCUGCGCGGAAGAUGUAACGGGGCUAAACCAUGCACCGAAGCUGCGGCAGCGACACUAUGUGUUGUUGGGUAGGGGAGCGUUCUGUAAGCCGUUGAAGGUGUCCUGUGAGGGGUGCUGGAGGUAUCAGAAGUGCGAAUGCUGACAUAAGUAACGAUAAAGCGGGUGAAAAGCCCGCUCGCCGGAAGACCAAGGGUUCCUGUCCAACGUUAAUCGGGGCAGGGUGAGUCGACCCCUAAGGCGAGGCCGAAAGGCGUAGUCGAUGGGAAACAGGUUAAUAUUCCUGUACUUGGUGUUACUGCGAAGGGGGGACGGAGAAGGCUAUGUUAGCCGGGCGACGGUUGUCCCGGUUUAAGCAUGUAGGCGGAGGUUCCAGGUAAAUCCGGUUCCUUGUUAACGCUGAGGUGUGAUGACGAGGCACUACGGUGCUGAAGUAACAAAUGCCCUGCUUCCAGGAAAAGCCUCUAAGCAUCAGGUAACACGAAAUCGUACCCCAAACCGACACAGGUGGUCAGGUAGAGAAUACCAAGGCGCUUGAGAGAACUCGGGUGAAGGAACUAGGCAAAAUGGUGCCGUAACUUCGGGAGAAGGCACGCUGAUAUGUAGGUGAAGCCCCUGCGGGUGGAGCUGAAAUCAGUCGAAGAUACCAGCUGGCUGCAACUGUUUAUUAAAAACACAGCACUGUGCAAACACGAAAGUGGACGUAUACGGUGUGACGCCUGCCCGGUGCCGGAAGGUUAAUUGAUGGGGUUAGCGGUAACGCGAAGCUCUUGAUCGAAGCCCCGGUAAACGGCGGCCGUAACUAUAACGGUCCUAAGGUAGCGAAAUUCCUUGUCGGGUAAGUUCCGACCUGCACGAAUGGCGUAAUGAUGGCCAGGCUGUCUCCACCCGAGACUCAGUGAAAUUGAACUCGCUGUGAAGAUGCAGUGUACCCGCGGCAAGACGGAAAGACCCCGUGAACCUUUACUAUAGCUUGACACUGAACACUGGUCCUUGAUGUGUAGGAUAGGUGGGAGGCUUUGAAGCGUGGACGCCAGUCUGCGUGGAGCCAACCUUGAAAUACCACCCUUUAAUGGCUGGUGUUCUAACGUAGACCCGUAAUCCGGGUUGCGGACAGUGUCUGGUGGGUAGUUUGACUGGGGCGGUCUCCUCCCAAAGAGUAACGGAGGAGCACGAAGGUUAGCUAAUCCUGGUCGGACAUCAGGAGGUUAGUGCAAUGGCAUAAGCUAGCUUGACUGCGAGAGUGACGGCUCGAGCAGGUGCGAAAGCAGGUCAUAGUGAUCCGGUGGUUCUGAAUGGAAGGGCCAUCGCUCAACGGAUAAAAGGUACUCCGGGGAUAACAGGCUGAUACCGCCCAAGAGUUCAUAUCGACGGCGGUGUUUGGCACCUCGAUGUCGGCUCAUCACAUCCUGGGGCUGAAGUAGGUCCCAAGGGUAUGGCUGUUCGCCAUUUAAAGUGGUACGCGAGCUGGGUUUAGAACGUCGUGAGACAGUUCGGUCCCUAUCUGCCGUGGGCGCUGGAGAAUUGAGGGGGGCUGCUCCUAGUACGAGAGGACCGGAGUGGACGCAUCACUGGUGUUCGGGUUGUCAUGCCAAUGGCACUGCCCGGUAGCUAAAUGCGGAAGAGAUAAGUGCUGAAAGCAUCUAAGCACGAAACUUGCCCCGAGAUGAGUUCUCCCUGAGACUUUAAGUCUCCUGAAGGAACGUUGAAGACUACGACGUUGAUAGGUCGGGUGUGUAAGCGCAGCGAUGCGUUGAGCUAACCGAUACUAAUGAACCGUGAGGCUUAACCUU
rnacentral:rRNA from 1 species